CAAUUUCUAACUUCCGGUUCCUGGGGCUCCGGAAAUGGUCUUCAGCGGUGCGCCGAGUUUGAGUGUAGAACUCUCAGGCGCACGGUCCUGACUCUUAGUUGACAACUAGCUGGAAGGCAUAGUAUCCUGCUUGUUUUCAUAUCGACUCUUACAGCCGUGUGACUUCGGACUAGAACCUUCAUCUCUCUGAUCCAGGAUAAUAAUUGAUAAUAAUAAUAAUUAAUAAUAAUAAUAAUAAUAAUAAUAAUUGACCCUCUGAGAAAUGAACGAUAAUACCGCCAGUGCCUGCCCUGCGGGAAUAUCGUAGGGGAAACCUUUGGAUCAGCCCCGAAGGCCCAUCUACUGAAAUACUAGUGGAUUUUAUAAAGUAUCAAUCCGACAACCUUCCUCUAUCAGUCAGUCAACAAACAAGUACAGACCCUGCAAAUUGUUUGGGAUGUAAAGAAAAACAGUGUGGCCCCUCCCUCUAAGAAAUUCAUUAUGAUGGGGCACCAUCCCCCAAAUUAUCAAUUAUUAUAAAUAAUUAUAUAUACUGUAUAAAUUAAAGGUAGUCUUCAUGUUAUUAUUAUUAUAUAGUCUAUAUUGUAAAUUAUGAACCAUAAGGUGAAAUCGAAACCAGAAAAGCUAGGAGAGGAGUGCUCCUUGAGUGCCUAGCCAAAUUCUGGACUCAGAGCUGGAGGAGACCUCAAGAGAAACCUAGGCAAAAACACAAGGGGAAUUUCGGGAAAUUCCCAGCAAUAUCCUGAUCUAUAUCUCUGAAUGUCUCUGAAUGAGGACUGGGACAAAUCAUUGGAGAGGAAGGUGUAAAAUCCUAAAUCUAAGUGGUAUAACUUUGUGGAAGAUUGCAUGCUGGACCUCAGAAGUUAUACAAUCCAAUUUAUUAGCGAAGGGCUAAUUGAGGCCCAGAUUCAGCGAAUGGCUUGCUUCUGACUACAAAGUAUAAUAGUAGGAAGAGGUAGGAAAACGAAAAGAACAUUUAUUCACUGACUAUUGCGUUUUGAGGCAGGUGGAGUUUAGAUAAGAUAUGAUUAGAGAGAGACUGCAACAAAAAUGUAUUAAGUCUUCUGUGUUUUAAAUGCUGAGGUCGCAAUUCCUGACCUCAAGGAGCUCCCACUGCAAUGGGUAAGGCAACAUGCAAAUAGUAGCUUGUCACUUCAUAUCAUUAUAAAGUGCUGUUGACCCAGAAGCCACAAAGGAAAAAAAAAGAAUCUAAGAUCCAGUAGCAUUCCAGUAAAGCAAGGAAGUCCUAGGUAGAAACCUGCUGACCCAGGAAAGGAGAUACACCAACAGACCUCUGAACCCUUCCAAGGUAGCUUGGAGUUUCCUGACUAGAUUUUUUUCUUAAGGACCAUGCCUUUCAGCCCUCUUUGUAGUGGCUAGAAACUGGAA